rnacentral:rRNA from 1 species
UACGAAGGGGGCUAGCGUUGCUCGGAAUCACUGGGCGUAAAGCGCACGUAGGCGGAUUGCUAAGUCAGGGGUGAAAUCCUGGAGCUCAACUCCAGAACUGCCUUUGAUACUGAGGAUCUUGAGUCCGGGAGAGGUGAGUGGAACUCCGAGUGUAGAGGUGAAAUUCGUAGAUAUUCGGAAGAACACCAGUGGCGAAGGCGGCUCACUGGCCCGGUACUGACGCUGAGGAGCGAAAGCGUGGGGAGCAAACAGG